rnacentral:rRNA from 1 species
UACGUAGGGUGCAAGCGUUGUCCGGAAUUAUUGGGCGUAAAGAGCUCGUAGGCGGUUUGUCGCGUCUGCUGUGAAAACUGGAGGCUCAACCUCCAGCCUGCAGUGGGUACGGGCAGACUAGAGUGCGGUAGGGGAGAUUGGAAUCCUGGUGUAGCGGUGGAAUGCGCAGAUAUCAGGAGGAACACCGGUGGCGAAGGCGGGUCUCUGGGCAGUAACUGACGCUGAGGAGCGAAAGCGUGGGGAGCGAACAGG